CUCUCCCCUCCCACGCGCCUCCUCCUCCCGCACCCGCGCCUCCCUCUCCUCCCGCGCGCCUCCUCUCCUCCCGCCCACAUCGUCGCCGCCGCCGCCACCGCAACCCACCGCCUCGAACCACGCCAUCGACAUCCAUCCACUGCUCCGGCACCGUCCAGAUGCGCCGCAACAGAGCCCCCCAGCCCUGGGGCAAGAAUAGAGAUGGCGGCGGCGGCCGGAUCCGAAGACGGCGGGGCGGCGACCACUCCCAUGAGACUCGGCGGCAAGCAGCGCGCACCGAGGGGUCGAAGGGCGCUCCGGAUCCAGAUCCUGGCGCAGUGGCGGCCAUGGCCGAGCUUGAGCCGGGGCGCGGUGGCGGCCAUGGCCGAGCUUGAGCCGGGGCGCGGUGGCGGCCAUGGCCGAGCUUGAGCCGGAGCGCGAGGAGGACGGCGCUGACGUCGAGAUCGCGCACAUCGAGCCCACCUAGCCGCUGCCUCCUCCUCGCACACCCGCCCCCGUUCUAGAACCCUAGCCGCCCCAUCCCCGUGCCUUCCCGUGCUCGCUCCUCCCCUCCCUUUCCAGCUGCCACUCCCCUCCCCUCCCCGGUCUCUGUUCCGCCGUCAUCGCCAUUGCCACUACUGGCCAUCACCAUCGCCGGGAGGAGGCCGAGCGAAGCGGGCCGCUUGUACUGGAGACCAAGCCGCCUCUCCCUCCCGCGCGGUCGCGGCUUCCUCCUGCCCCACGUCGUCGUCCCUGCCCCAACCACCGCACCCUCUCCCUCCCCCUACCGUCGGCCUCUCCCCAGGCGGCGGCCAGAUCUGCCACCGCCACCUCUCCUCUCUCUCUCUCUGAUGUGUUUCGAUCUGUUUCAGGAACAAAUGUUGCUGCUAGCCUUGUAGUUAGUUAUGUGUUGUGUGUCAUUCUUUGACUGACUGCAAAUCAGUGUUCUGUAGGAGUAUAUGCCAUGUUAUAGAAAGAAGGUGCUCAAGUUGAACAUCUUUUGGUGCAUUUUUUGUUUCAACAACUGACACAUGUUAUGUUGGGUUCCCACUGAAGUGCAUAGACAAUGCAUUAUGAGGCAUCAUGAGUGGUAACGAAUAGCUCUUCGGGGGAUGCGGGCCCAAUGGGGUGUGUGCAUGCCUUCGCGGGUUCGUGCCUCGGUUGCUCCAGUGCUUGCUAUUACGCUCGACUUCCUAUUGUUAGUUGUAACCCACUUGCUUCGAUUUCCUCGUGGUAGUACCCCAUCAGUUUGAUGGAGAUCACUGAGCUGCGGGUUGGAACUGAUCAGUUCAUGUCCUGAGCCUUUAUAGCUUAGUUAUUGGGGCCUCUGGAGCGAUGGUGGUGGUGAAUCCCACAAGUUUCUGGUUGUUAAUAUUCCCUUACUUUGUCUAUUGUGAUUUGUCAACUAUCCUGGUUAUUAUCAUUCGCUUUAUGGCUAGAAAUGCUUGCACCUAUUUGGUGGUUAUAAUUGUCAGCCUUUUCCUUUUACUUGGCUUGUGGCUCACAAUUGGCAGUUGAUGAUACAUAUAUUUAGCACCUAAUUAAACAUCUUUUGUGGCAUGACAGGUUAAUUGAGAAUUCUUAUGAUUGUGUAGAUGUAUAUAAAGUUCCACGUACAUGAAUCUCCACUCAUCUGGUGGAUGAGCACAAUAUGAAACAUCGACAUCCCUAUUGCAUCCUUCCGAAGCACUAGCCCCUCUCAAGUUUAUAGGAAGUUGCUGAAAUCAAAGAGGAGCAGCAAAAGAUCGAUGAGGCUGCUAAAAUCAUGCAAGAUGUUGUUCAUUGAAGGGGUGCCACUUGGCUGGCAGCAGGAAGUAAGCCAUCAACAUCAUCAAGAUCCGCUUGAAGGACAACACCAUGGAAGAUGCUCAAUGACCAGAUCGUCGUCCUCUCCGAGAGGAGGGGCCAGCUCAAGCAGCAUUGAAGGGGUGCCACUUGGCUGGCAGCAGGAAGUAAGCCAUCAACAUCAUCAAGAUCCGCUUGAAGGACAACACCAUGGAAGAUGCUCAAUGACCAGAUCGUCGUCCUCUCCGAGAGGAGGGGCCAGCUCAAGCAGCAUUGAAGGGGUGUCACUUGGCUGGCAGCAGGAAGUAAGCCAUCAACAUCAUCAAGAUCCGCUUGAAGGACAACACCAUGGAAGAUGCUCAAUGACCAGAUCGUCGUCCUCUCCGAGAGGAGGGGCCAGCUCAAGCAGGUACAACUAGCUCACCACAGCUCGCUCCUCCUCCCUCUUCUCUGUUUCGUGUUCGAUUGUUCAGAAACGUAACUUAUAUGUGGUGGAUGACUAAGCAAGUGGUUGAAUGAGAACUGAAACCUUUCACUUUUAAGGUUUGAGAUUGUUAUGAACUGCGAGUAUUUCAUAAAAAAAUUCAGUUCAUAUAAAGCAAAAGAAAGGCAUGCAGUAACUUACAUUGACAGUUUGAUUGUUAACCCCUUAUGAUAUUGGAAACCUGAUAAAUAAUACAUUUUAUGACUGAAUGUUUGACGUGGGACUAGGAGACCCCCAAUUCUGUUUGGUACAUGAAUCUUCUUAUAUUUUGUCCAUUCUUUUUUAUUUUGAUCAAGAAGUCAUAUGGUAGUAUUAUUAGUGAUAUUUUUCAUUUACUUUAAGUUUUCAAGCACACAUUUAGUUUAGGUAAAUCUAAACUAAAUCUGUGAGCUUUGUCAUUUUUCAAGCACACAUUUAGUGAUAUUUUUCAUUUACUUUGAAGUUAUGCAGUUUUCACUGGGAGAAUCUCACAGAUUAGAUAGCACAAACUGUGAGCUUUGAGUAUCAUAUUUCUUUAAGUGGAAUCAUUGUGAUUUGGACUAUAGGAAUGGCCGUCACUCCUGCAGUUCAUUUUGUCUCAUUUUUUUAAGGUAGCACUACCACAAGCCAUUAAUCCUUGAAGCAUUGACCCACCUACAUGUCCUGGAUCCGACGGUCGUUAGUAAUUUUGUAUUGUGUGCAAUGGAUUAGAAUAAAUAUUUGGUUGAGAGUGAGAGGGAGAGGGAGAGGGGGAAAGAGAGAGAGGGAGAGAGAGGGAGGGAAAGUCAUGUUUUUGCUCGGGUCCAAUACUCAGAGUUGGUAGUGCUGAUGGGAAAUGGUCACAUUGCCCUUGCUAUACCUUUUAGUACCCGAGGGAUGAUUUCAGUUGCACUUACUUGCCUAAUGAGAAUUACUGCGGUACUGACUUUGUGAAAUGUACCAUUUUGAACUAGGUUCAACGAUCACCAGAAAUCACAUGUGUGUAUCUAUUGCAGUUAAGUUAAAUAAGUUUAUGUAACUAAGAUUUUGUUUUGCGGGACAUGUAACUUAGGUUAAAUAUUGAUUAACUGAUACACAAUACUUAUGGUGGUCUUCUAAUUGAAGAAGACAUUUACAGAAAUUUGGUUGUAGUGGCUCUCAGGACACUCGGCAUCAAAGAGUUUCCUGUUUCUAUCACAUGUUGCUACUCUGUGUUAGAUGAUCAUUAGCCAUAUAUCGACACUGUGAUUAAUCAGAAGGUUAUUACAUAUUGUUGUGUAAUGUAUGACAUGCGAGAUACGCCUAUUCACCAUAUAUUUGUCUUGCUAUUCCUUCUGCAGUAAACCUUCUGGUUAAGUUUUGCAAUCAUUGCCUCAUGUUUUGCCUUGCAAUAUUAUCUCUAUUUGAUCAAAGCGCAUGAAUUUCUAGACACCAUAAGGCAUCUUAGAAUUAACAGUGCACAUGACCACCUGUUGUUUAAAAAAUAUUCUUGAAAUUGAUACUAGCUCUGGUUAAUAUGGCCAGACUGAUUGCUUAGGAUGGACCAUAUAAAACUCAUUGACAGAUUAAAAUUAGAACGAUUGCUUAGGAUACGUACAUGAGCACAGUCUCUCUCUCACUCCCACACUUAUUGCUUAAGAUGCGUAUUGCUCAAGCGCUUAAACAAAGCAUUUAUGGUUGCCAUUUGCUUAGAUUGAAUGAGUUUUGUAUGGUUCUAUAUCAUUUUUUUGAGGCUCAAUCAUCAUGCCUUUGUUUGUUUGCAUCUCGUGUUGGUUUGUGCUUAUAUGAUCCCUUUAGCUGUGUAAGUUUUGCACAAUCGUAAGCCUUUUGGAAUGCUAAACUGAACUAUUCAGGAUAUAAGGCCUCUACAGGAAAAGUAAGAACCCAAAUUCCUAAGUAAUCAUAACAACUCAAGUGUGAUAUAUAUCUUAUCGCAUGGAUGCAAAUAUUUUCUCUGCACGCUGGAUCAUUGCAUGCCAACUGUUUGAUCUUUAUAUGCUUGGACACGACGUUGGGACCGGGACCCUCGCGCCAAGGCACACUACUGAUCUCCUUGCUUCAAGGUCAAGGAAGGAAACCGUAUCAUCAUUGGCCAGUGUAGGUUGCCGCUGGAACUAGAUGGGGUCUCCAGCCAGCCGCCAUGUGGCUUGCAGUAGCGGUUGAUGCAAGUUAUCCUUACAUACGUAUAAGGGUCUUAGUACUUACUUAGUAUGACAAAGUGAAGAUAGAACUGAUGUAUUGAAUUAUUAAUGGGGUGGUUUCGAUGAGAACUGAAACCUUUUGCUUUCAAGGUUGGACACUGAUAUGAACUGUGAGUAUUUAAUAGAGAAAUUCAGUUCAUAUGGAUCAAAACGAAGGCAUGUAGUACCUCACAUGGACAGUGAUUAUUUGCCCAUUGUAGUACUUCAAAUUUGAUGAAGAAUUUAUUUCACGACUGAGACAUGGGAUUUGGAGAAUCUCAGUUCUGACAUGUAUAUUAAUCACCUUUAUUUUGUCA